rnacentral:rRNA from 1 species
UACAGAGGUCCCAAGCGUUGGUCGGAUUCACUGGGCGUAAAGGGUGCGUAGGCGGUCGGGUAAGUCUGAUGUGAAAUCUCACAGCUUAACUGUGAAACUGCAUUGGAUACUAUCCGGCUAGAGGAAUGGAGGGGAGACUGGAAUACUUGGUGUAGCAGUGAAAUGCGUAGAUAUCAAGUGGAACACCAGUGGCGAAGGCGAGUCUCUGGACAUUUCCUGACGCUGAGGCACGAAAGCCAGGGGAGCAAACGGG